rnacentral:lncRNA from 1 species
CCUUUUUGUAAGAUGAUCGCUGCUGUGUUUUUGCAAAUCUGAAUUCUGCGUUCUGCUAACCAGCACAUCCAAUCAACCUGAAAGGCUGGCUGAGUUACCCGCAUCACUGCUUCACUUCAGUGUUUCUCACACCUUCGUCCUGAAGGAAGGACACAAAGAUGUUACUCUGAUUGUCUUUGGUUUCUUCAGUUUUUCAUCCCCCUUCGAGUUGCACAGGCACCGAAGUAAAGGUGAGCCCACCUGCCAGUCUCUGGGACCCAAGUUUGGCUGUGUUUGGCUGCUUCCAUCAUACUCCACACAACGAAAUUAGGUCAUGACUUUUUGCCUCCCAGA